rnacentral:lncRNA from 1 species
UAUCUAAAUUGUUACAAAUGGGACAGUAUAUGUGCCAUUCCAGAUACCUAAUCACAGCUCAAUCGAUGCUGGUGUCUUUUUCCUUUUUCCUUCUGCAGAAAACAUGCUUUACAUAGGAUCUCUGAACUUAAAGAAUGGGAAGAAGAAAAAUCAUGUUUCCAGCUUGGGCUGCUGUUUCAUCUGUUGGACUUGCUUGAUCCCUGAAUGGAAAGGAAUGCUAUGCACACUUUUUGGAUACAGGAAGUGAGAUUCAGAGGGGUUAAACAGCUUUCCUAAAGCCACACAGCGAGAGAGUCGAUCUGAACUGAAGAUUGUUUGACAUCAAAGCUCAUUUCUUUCCCUAAAUGUCAGCAUUCUUUCCUGACUUAUUAAUUUGAUUUCUGUCCUCCCCUCAUGGAAGUUAAUUAAAGGAAUGCGAGAACCUUUUAGAAAAUCUC